AUGGUGUCCCGACCACAACUCCUAGGGCUUCUCUUCUUCUGGGUUUCAGCCUCCAGAGGUGAGAUUGUGAUGACCCAGUCUCCAACUGUAUUACCAGUGACUCCAGGGGACAGAAUCACCCUGAACUGCCGGGCCAGCCAAAACGUUGGUACAAGCUUACACUGGUACCAACAAAAACCAAACCAGGCACCAAAGCUAAUUAUCAAGUAUGCUUCACAGACAAUCUCUGGGAUCCCCUCAAGGUUCAGUGGCAGUGGAUCUGGGACAGACUUCAUCCUCACUAUCAGCACCCUACAGCCUGAAGAUCUUGCAACUUAUUACUGUCAACAAGUGUACAACUAUUUUCCCACAAUGAUACAGAUCAUAACAUAA